rnacentral:rRNA from 1 species
GACGAACGCUGGCGGCGUGCCUAAUACAUGCAAGUUGAGCGAUGAAGAUUGGUGCUUGCACCAAUUUGAAGAGCAGCGAACGGGUGAGUAACGCGUGGGGAAUCUGCCUUUGAGCGGGGGACAACAUUUGGAAACGAAUGCUAAUACCGCAUAACAACUUUAAACAUAAGUUUUAAGUUUGAAAGAUGCAAUUGCAUCACUCAAAGAUGAUCCCGCGUUGUAUUAGCUAGUUGGUGAGGUAAAGGCUCACCAAGGCGAUGAUACAUAGCCGACCUGAGAGGGUGAUCGGCCACAUUGGGACUGAGACACGGCCCAAACGCCUACGGGAGGCAGCAGUAGGGAAUCUUCGGCAAUGGACGAAAGUCUGACCGGGCAACGCCGCGUGAGUGAAGAAGGUUUUCGGAUCGUAAAACUCUGUUGGUAGAGAAGAACGUUGGUGAGAGUGGAAAGCUCAUCAAGUGACGGUAACUACCCAGAAAGGGACGGCUAACUACGUG